AUUGAACGCUGGCGGCAGGCUUAACACAUGCAAGUCGAGCGGAGAUGAGGUGCUUGCACCUUAUCUUAGCGGCGGACGGGUGAGUAAUGCUUAGGAAUCUGCCUAUUAGUGGGGGACGACAUUCCGAAAGGAAUGCUAAUACCGCAUACGUCCUACGGGAGAAAGCAGGGGAUCAUCGGACCUUGCGCUAAUAGAUGAGCCUAAGUCGGAUUAGCUAGUUGGUGGGGUAAAGGCCUACCAAGGCAACGAUCUGUAGCGGGUCUGAGAGGAUGAUCCGCCACACUGGGACUGAGACACGGCCCAGACUCCUACGGGAGGCAGCAGUGGGGAAUAUUGGACAAUGGGCGGAAGCCUGAUCCAGCCAUGCCGCGUGUGUGAAGAAGGCCUUUUGGUUGUAAAGCACUUUAAGCGAGGAGGAGGCUACCUGGAUUAAUACUCUAGGAUAGUGGACGUUACUCGCAGAAUAAGCACCGGCUAACUCUGUGCCAGCCGCCGCGGUAAUAC
rnacentral:rRNA from 1 species